GCACCAUCUCCUGUUCUCCCACCGGGUUCUGGAGACCAGAGCCCCCACCCCCCACGUUGCCCAAGCCCACGAUGCUGGGCGCCUGCCCUGUGGUCUGGCGGGGCUCCCAGUCCCUGUGUCUGAAGGCGAUUGCAGUUUAUGAGGGAAACAUGCAAUUGCCAAGUCCUAGGAAAUGCAAGCCACCGUGGAUGGGUUCCUACAGACACUCUGGGGCCUGACACCCAGGAGAUGCAAGCAAGCAGCCAUCAGAGUAAGGCCCUGUGGCCAGUCCCACGCAAAUCCUGCCGCCGGGUCGCUGCCCCCCGCCCCGCCCCACCCCCAGCAGGCAGGAGGCAGAGGGGAAGGGACUUGCCAAGAGCUCCCAGAACAGGACAGCUGAGCUGGGCAGAACUCCAGCUCCCACCUCGGCUGGCUCCGAGGGCCCUGGCCGCCAGCCUCCUGGUCUUCUAGGAUGUUUGUAAACACCCAGAGACCAGAGCCUCUUCCAGGAACAGGCCUGCGUUCUCAGUGACUGUGACAAGUGGAAUUUCACUGUCCACUGGAAACAAUCCCCAGGGCGUUGUGUUUCUGAAUCCGAGGAUGAAGCCACCCGCCUGAAUAGUAUACAUUCUCUAAAUUAGUAAAGAGCCCGAAAGAGCUGUUGUCACACUGAGGUCACCACUGCGAGUCCCCAGAGCAGCGGUCCGGUUCUCAGCGAGGCAGGGAGGCCAGGCCCCCAGCCCCCCAGGGGCGCUGGGGAAGUCUCCCUGCUCCCGGGGACUGAGACUGACCCUUGUGGAAACAGGAAGGGACUCACGGUAGGGAGUGAGAUCUGCACUUUGGCAAGAACCCGGCCUCCCUGUCACCUUUGGCCUCCAGGGGCAGGGCAGGGCAGGGCCUGGGUUCUGGUCCUGCCUUGUGAACUUCAGCAUGGUGUUUCUACUCUAAGCACGUUUUCAUCCCCUCUCUCAAAUGAGGCUUUAGUAAAGCAGCAAAGCGGCCCCCAGCUCCAGGGAGCCCCCUCCCUAUUUCAUUCUAUGUGAAAGCCGCCCCCACCCCCACCGCCGAGAAUUGAGCAGUACGUGGCCCUGGCUCGCACGUCCUGGAAGGCCUGGGAUCCAGGGCAUGUAAGGGCUACUGGGGCCCCCAGCGCGGAAACACCCAUUAAACGCUGCUGUCCGAAUCGCUGACUUGUCUCUCCGCCCACCAGCCGGCCUUUCCUGGCCCGGAGCUUUCUACUUCUCCUGCUCCCCGGAGGCAGCCGCGGCCCCACCCGUCCUGAUGGGGCUGAGAGAAGGGGAGGCUAAUAAAGAUGCUGGAGGCUGGCCCACGUUCUGGCCUCGAGGGUGACCUCUGGCAAGUUCUUUAUACAAAGCCCUUGGGCUCAAUGUUUGAUGGGAGUAAUGUCUGGCGGAAGGUUCUAGAAAGACAAGGCUGCAUAUCACCCAGAUGACAGACCUUCCGAGUGGGAUGGAGUGAUGCUUGCUGAGGGGCAGCCCUCCAAUGUCAGGCUAAGACCUGGAGACACAGUGAAGACCCGGAUGGAGGAGUGGAAAUGGGCUCUGCCCUCCUGGUCAGCCUGUGCUGGCAGAGGCUUCCUGGAGGAGGCGGCGCUCAAACAGGAGCUUGAAGGAUGAGCAAGAGUUCAGGGGGCCUGUGUGGGCAGCAAAGCCGGUGCGGAGAGGGGCUCCCCUCCAGGGUCCAGCAGCCUGAGCCCCACCUGUUCCUGGGGAGAGACAAACCAAGCAAGCUCUACACCGAACAUGGGGCUUGAACUCAUGACCCUGAGAUCAAGAAGAGCACAUUCUACUGACUGAGCCAGCCAGGCACCCCUUGAAGGUACAUCUCUUAACUGCACAAAACUCACCUGCCCUGAGAGAUUUUCCAACAACGAACGGUUUCCUUCUAUCAUCAGAGGAAGGGAGAAGAGAGAGGAGAAGCCUGGAGCAGCAAAGUUCACGUUGGCAGGAAGGCCCGGUGUGGGCGGGGCUGGUGGGAGCGGGGCUUGUUUUGACAGGCGUGUUGUACCCCUGGUGGCUUGGGGCUUCUCCAAGCUGCAGGGCAACCUGCUGACACAUUACAAACCCCGCUUAGCGGGUGUGAGCACGUGUGUGUGUGUGUGCGCGCGCGCACACGUGGGACCCCCAUCUGUUGCCAACCUGGCAGCGCGGUGCUGGGUCUUCAGCUGUGUUUGCUGGGACUUGGGUGGAUUUUGUCGUCUGAAUUUCUUGCUUGCUUCCCCAGGCCUUCCUUCAGCUGCUUCUCCCAGUGACUGCUUAACGUUAAGGGGCUUCCUGCCUAAGCUCUCUCCUGGGCCUCUGAAGACUUCUCAAAGUCGGAGACAGUUCCUGCAGGUGUUUGGUGUUAAGGCAAGAGACAAAAGCGGGGUUCUCUGACACCACCUGGAGGUCCAGCAAUUCAACUCUGUCACCAAGUACCGAGAGUCAGUGCAGACCUCCCGCAGGAUGCAAAUGAACAGCCAGACGAAGACGGGUGCAGAAGGGUACCGUGCAAGAGUCUCUGUGCCCAUGGAAUUGGGGUGUGCCACCCUCCCGGCACGUGGAUGUGCUCCCCCAACUCAGAAGCUCCCCAAACUUUGUUGGUGAGGUAUUUUUAUCAAGAUCUCAUUACGUAGGCACAAUUGCUUAAAUCACUGGCCUGAUCGGACUCCCUCCCCGGCCUCCCCUCCCUCCCCAGAGGUCCAGGGACCGGACUGUAAGUUUAAACCCUCCAGCUACAGGGGCGGUGUUGCUGGUGACCAGGCCCCAUCCUGAAGCGUACAAAUCCCAAGGGUUUUAGGAACCCAGAACUGCACAAAAACUAUUUUUUUUUCUUAUACCAUGUGGGCUAUUUGCAGUUUUGUGGAAAACACCACUUGCAUUGCCAAGACAACAGAGGCCUCCGCAACGAUGCUGCUUCUCGUCAUUUCCAGCUCGUUGUCCACCGCAGUGCCGGGGGCACACACAGGUCAUGCCAGACACUGUUGGUGCAGGAGGGCUGGGGGGUAGGUGACUGAGAACGGGGAGAAUCCCCUCCCUGUGUCUCAGGACCCCAACCUCAAAUUCAAAGGUCCCAUAAUGGAGCUCAACGGUAGAGCGUAACCGAACUGUGGGGUCCGGCUUGAGACAACAGUAAAGACGGAGCAAUCUUGAUGAGGCGACCAGGACCCAGAGGGUCCACCCUACCCCAGAUGGCGUUCUCUAGGCCCCAAAGAGCUUCCAGACUUAAAAAUGUCUUCCACUUGUCAGUCCCAGUGCCUCAAACACAGAUGGGCUUAGGUUAUAAUGCAAAGAUGUAAGGGUGGAAGAGGGAAGGCUGAAGAGAGCAGAGCAGCUGGGCAGCAACCCUCCACACCCUGAGGACUCUGGCCACUGCUCCCUCUGAGGCACCCACAGCAGCCCCAUGUCACAGCUGGGGCCCAAGGGCCCUGGGGACAGCUCAGGAUGCUGGGCACAGUUUGAAGAUGGGCAGCUCCAUAACUUCUACUAGAAAACCCACACAUUGUAAUUCCUUUUGGUGUCUUCAAAUUUGAAGCUUGUUUAUCUGGGUCAGGGACCAUUUAUUUGCAUCUAACAAGUCGACGCUCGCCGCAACAUCUUUCCAACAUAUGGCCUGUUUGUGUCCUGUCUCUGUGCAACUGGUCAAGGCCACGUGGGCAAGGGGGCAUUGGCCUCGCUGGGAGGGGGUACAUGGCCUAGCACAGACCCCUCAGCUUCCCAGCCACCCAACCUGCUUUUCAGAGAAACGGCAGUUGGGGGCACCUGGUAGUUUACCUGAAUGAGUCUCUCACCUGGGGAAAUGUUCCAGGAGCCAUUUAGGAAGAUCAUUCUGGAACCCAGCAAGCUGCAUCACCAUGGCAACCCCUGCAUCCCUGUGGUGCCCAUCCCUUGGACACCUCUCUGUAAGACGGACAGGGGAAGUCUAAAUGUGAGCUUAUCUUUCUUUUUAAAAUAAUUAUCUUGAAGUACUUCAGAAAAUAAAGGCAUAAUGAAUAAUGUAAGAAAUAUCUGUGUCCUCACCUCCCAAUUUAAGAUAUAAAACCACAUCUGUAAACGAAGCUCCUUUUCUCUGAUCAUAGAAACUUCCCUAUCCUGUGAGAGGUAACCGCUAUGCUGAGUUUAGUGUCUAUCACCCAUUCAUUAUAUAUAAUUAUAUUUAUAUAUUAUAUAUAUGAUUAUAUACCCUUCCUAUAUUCUGAACCAAGGUAUAAUAUCUUUUGCAAGUUAAAACAUUUUUUUGAGGUGAGAGUCAUGUAACAUAAACCCCACCAUCUUAAAGUGUAAAAUUCAGUGGUAUUUAGUGCAGUGGGCAGUGUUGGGCAACGAUUACCUCCAUGUUCACGUUUUUGAGCUUGUAUAACUGGGAUCCUACGUUAGGACUUUUGCUGCUUGCUUUUUGCAUCAAUGCUGCUUACGAGGCUCAUCUGUGCUCAUGCACGCUGCCCUCCUCGUUCGGCUCACUGCUGUCCUGUAUUGCCCCGUGUGACUACUUCACAAUCGAUCUUUUCUCCUGAUGGGUACUGGGUGGAUUCCAGGUUUUUAUGAUUACAGUAAGCCUGCCUCCUUGUGCUGCUUCUCCAGGAUGUCAACCCAGGAGUAAAAGUUGCUGUGUCAUGGGCUGAGAGCAGUUCCAGAUUAGACAUCACCCAACUGUUCCUCAAAGUGCUACUUUAUAUUCACAUAAGCCUGGUUGUCUUGGGAAGCUGGGGGCCAGGUGCACAAUUUAAUUGUAGUAACCUAACACUUGGAUAGUGUGCUUCAUUUAAUAAAACACUGUGAGGUAGGCAGAGCAGGAUUAUUAACCAUUCUCUGCAACCUUCUGAACAAGGUAUCUGAGACUCAGAGGGACUCCACCUGGAUCACAGCAGUGUUAGGACUGAAGGUUAGAGGCAGGACGACCCAUGUGUCAGUCCAGGAUGGUGCUCUCCUUAGGCAAUGUUAAUUUCUCCCCUGCCCCCACCCCCACCCCGCCCCCUUGUACCUUACUUAAGCAUAGGUCACAGUUUACCCCAUCAGCUUUCUGAGGUGACAACACAAUGAACGAUGGCUGGCAGACCAUGGAGAGGAGACCCUGAAAGAGGGUCUCUGUGGUUUGGACCAUUCCAGGCUGCACGGAAGCAGGGCAGAAUCUUCUGGACUUGCACAUUCCAUUUUCCUUGCGGUGGUCGACAUGCCUGUGCACAAAGAUCGCAUCUGAUAGUAUUUGGGGAUCUAAGUUGCCCUAGGAGGGCACAAAGAAAAGAAAAGGCUUUACAGAAAAGUCCGAGGGAGGAACUGUGAACACACCAGGGAAGGAGGUACAGUGGGAGAAGCAUUUAUGAUACCUCAAUUCUCUAAGGAACUGUCAGCUGGGCCCCCUGGUCCCUCCUCCCCACACUCCCUGAAACCAGGCGGCAUCCCAAAAGAGGGCAACCCUGUGAACCUUGCUUAGCACAGAAACUUGGUUCUGGAGCAGAGCUUAUGCCUGAGUGACAUUUGAGCAGAGGCCUGUCUGAACAAGGCCUGGGGGUGUCUCGGGCUGCAGAGAGUGGCUGGGCUGCUGCCCCAGGGCGGGGGCAGAAGUGGAAGCCGAAGGGGUGUGCCCACACCUCUGUGUCCUGCCACGAACUUUUGGCACCAGGAGCACCAUUUGCCGCUCUCCACCUGCAAUCAUCUCCCCAUCCUGGCUGCUUCUGUCCCCCCGGACUCAUGUCUGUGCGUCGGGAUCCCAAGGGGGUGACAGGCCGUUCCGUUUUGCCUUCCCCGCCCCCAUCAGGCCCUCCAGUCACAAGAUGUAGGUGUGAUCCCGGGUGGCUUCGCAGUUUGACCUCAGGCAAGUUUCCUCUGGUGAAAAAUGAGGAGGAUUCGACAGAUGGCCCGUGAGGAAGCAGCUGGCUGUGGGACCUCACCACCACUUGCCUGCCAGGGGUCCCAGCCCAGGCCCCCCGCUCCGGCUCCCACGGUGCACAGCUCACUCAAGACUGAGUUCACCUCGCCGUCCCUUCUUCCCUAGAGACCUUAUGCCGAGCUCAUAAUGAGAGCACCGUGUUCCUCAGGAAAUAGGUGAGCAGAAUCUCCUAAGGAAGCUCAUUUUAUUCUUUGACCUGAUGCUGUCCAGGGCAGUUUUUUCAGCAUUGGGAAGGCAUCAGAUGCCCUGGAAAUCCGACACAGCCAUCUGGGGCAAGGAGAAGACAAAGACUGAUGGCAGAGCAGGGCCAGGUAACAACUUUCAGGGAUUCUUGCCCGCAAUGGCCCAGCCAGGAGGUGUCCUUGGGCCGUCCCCGUGCCACUCCCACCAGGCCGUGGCCCCAAGGCCGCGGUGCCCUGCCCACCCACCUCGUAGCACUGACUCAGUCUCUCCACUUCCCCACUCCCGGAUAAAGGGAAAUCAUUUCCUCUGGAGUUGGGCAGAAGAGUUUUCACUAUAUGUGGAUAUGAAGAGCUAGAUAAAAUACGAUCCACUUAUUCUUAAAAACUGUGGGCUAGAUGGUGUCUGCCAUGGUUCAAACAGGACGGAUGGAAAAGGAGAUUCUCGAUUGAACAUAGUAACAUCUCUGUUAGCCCCACUACCCUGCCGGGCCUCAGUGGGCCCACCAGGAAAGGCCAGAUGUUCACUGAGGCAGCUCUCAGGCCUUUGAGAGUGAGGUAGGUAGGGGUAGGGACAGGUGGCCACGCUGGCUGGGCAGGCAGGUCCCACCAAGGGCAUGAACGGGACUCAGGCAGGAGCACAGCCAACCAAGAGGAAGACCCGAGGCCCGGGUCCUGUCCCUGGGAACUGAGCCAGAGUAGUAAGCAAACACGGGGCAGAGGGGUCCAGGAGAUGGGACAACACGCAAUCUGCAAAGACUGGGCUCCAAGCUGUUAAAACAAGCACAGGAUGUGGGGGGGCGGGGAGCGUCCCCGCCACUAUGCUUCUGGCCACCGUUAGACAUGCAGGGUGGGAGCGGGGCUCUAGGAGGCUGCCCAUUCUGCCCUUAACAGCUGGGCCCCUCUUAGUCCUUUCCUAUACACAGCUCCGUUCUCUCUCGCUGGCACAACUGAAAAAAACCAAUUCAUUAUUAAAAACUCAAAUCCAAAUGGAAGUAGAGAGAAUAGUGUGAAGGAUCUGCUGUCUUCCUCACUCAGACUCAGUAAUUAUCGACACAUGACCCAUCUCCUCCUCUCUGAGCCCACCCACUCCUUGGUGACAAUUUUAAGGACCAACUGGAGAAAAGCCUAUUGGUUUAUUACAAAGAAUCGAGUGUUCCGGGGACCACUGUUUGGCUGACCAAUCACCUAUUCCUAAUUCCACCCCCAUCUUCCACAACAGGCUUUCCAGCAUCCAGCUGGGGGCAGUCAGAUGAUCCAGCAAUGGCCAGUGAGACGUACAUGAAAGCCAGCUUUGAAGCUGCUUUUAAAAGUCUCAUUGCAGGAUGAUACACGUGCACACAUAUACACAUCUGCACGUGUAUUAGCCAGAGGAAGCGGCUUCAUCAAUAUGAACUUAGUUCAGUAUGAGGGACGUUUUUUUUUAAGAUUUUAAGUAAUCUCUACACCCAGCCUGGGGCUCAAACUUAGAACCCCCGAGAUGAAGAGCUGCACGCUCUACCGACUGAACCAGCAAGAUGCCCCAAUGCAGGUGGCGUUUAAAGAGGCUCUAUGGAGGGGCGCCUGGGUGGCUCAGUCAUUAAGUGUCUGCCUUCGGCUCAGGUCAUGACCCCAGGGUCCUGGGAUCGAGCCCCACAUCGGGCUCCCUGCUCAGCGGGAAGCCUGCUUCUCCCUCUCCCACUCCCCCUGCUUGUGUUCCCUCUAUCGCUGUGUCUCUGUCAAAUAAAUAAAUAAAAUCUUUUUUAAAAAAAUAAAGAGGUUCUAUGGAGAUGAAGAGGGAGGCAGCUGAAGUCAAGGCAAAUGAAACUAUUUUAACUGUGAAAGUCUGGGAACACUGAAGCAAGGAUGCACGAAGCUGGGAGGAAGGGCGUCUGUAACAAGAAUGGUCUCAGUAGCUGCGCAUUCCUUGGCCAGCUGCCGGAUUCUGCCCCAAGGGGCUAGGCUUGAGGGGCUUUCUGUUUUACUGGCUGCUUGGAGUUUAUUUUCCACUGGGUGCAAGGCACACGGUUCCAGGAUGUCAGGAAGGCCUGCGUGUGGCUUGGAUAGUAAAAAAAACCCCUUCUUUUUUGGUGUUUUGCUGUACAAG